CCCUUAGAUGUUCUGGGCCGCACGCGCGCUACACUGAUGAAUGCAACGAGCUCUACCCUUGACCGAAAGGCCCGGGUAAACUUGUGAAACUUCAUCGUGAUGGGGAUAGAUUAUUGCAAUUAUUAAUCUUCAACGAGGAAUUCCUAGUAAGCGCGAGUCAUCAGCUCGCGUUGAUUACGUCCCUGCCCUUUGUACACACCGCCCGUCGCUCCUACCGAUUGAAUGGUCCGGUGAAAUCUUCGGAUUGCUGACCAAGGUCCAGCAAUGGAGCUUGGUUGCGAGAAGUUGAUUAAACCUUAUUAUUUAGAGGAAGGAGAAGUCGUAACA
rnacentral:rRNA from 1 species